CUUUAGCAUGACACGAUGCCUGGCACCCGCUCACUGGAAACGGUGUCAAAGGCUUUGCGUCGCCGCGCGCAGUUGCAGCGGUGGCAGCGGCAGUCACAAAUGGCGCGUGCGUCAGGCGCGGCAGCGGCUGUGGGAGCCGCAAGCUGCACGCAGGCGGAUCGCGCGUUACGUCCGCACUACCAGGUGACAUCAGCGUCGCCGUUGGACACGUCGACAAGCUGGUCUUCUGCGCUGGCAUCGAGUCGGGAGAACGCGGAAGUAGGUAUGGGUAAAACCCUUCAGCAUGCGUAUCAGAUGCGGGAUAGAGCCCGGUCGUCUCCGCCGCUGCAGCGUCGCCUCGCCGAGUAUCUGCGCUGCUCCACGAGCAAGGCGGAGGCAGCGGAGGCGUUUUUCCUCGUCGCUCGCUCGCAUCACGAGGCGCUGACGCCAGCUACCAUUUCCGAGUUCACCAGCACAAUGUUGCGGCACCACGUAGCUGCGCAGAUGGGCGCAAAGACCUACACGGUGGCGCUCGCGGACGCCGUCGGAGUCGCAGGCGAAAGCCCAUGGAACAACGUGGAGCCGGCAGAGGCGCGGGCCUUCGCUCUCUAUCAGGCGCGCCGCCUUGAGCGGUACUCUGUGAGGGGCACGUCCUUUCAGGAGCAGCUCGGUUUGACGCUGGAGGGCGCAGACAACACAGUUGUCGCCCUCACGGAACACCAGAUGCGCAAAGGUGCCGCCGUGGCGAGUGCGCUGCCCGUGUCGUGCGACGCCCUUGUCGAGCUCGUUCACCUCGACGUGUCGUGGUCCACCGCGCUGCAGGUGCACACGUACGCAAAGGAGGUGACACGCGUCGACCCACCUGCUGACAUGACGGCACGUUUGAUGGGGCUCAUGACCGGGUACAAGACGAACGCCCUUGGCUCGCGCCCGUGGGAGAUGGCGCUGGAGUUGUACGACAGACUGCUGGAAAGCGGCUACGAUGUACCGCUGGAUGCCCACACAGCCGCCUUAGACGCCGUUUGGCGCAGUGGGGAGAGUUUUGUGAAACCGCACAACUCCUUGUCCCCCACCGAUCGCGAUUGCAUGUGGAAUGCCCUGGUGCGCAUCCGUGAGCGUGUGCCAGACGCGCAGGUGAUGGGCGACGCCGGGUGCCGCUUCACCGAGGCUCUCAUCAAGGCAGCUGGAGCAGCAGGGCGGUGGGAGGCGGCCUUGCAACUUCUCAGUGACAUGGACGUCACAUUGGCCGCCACUUCGCAUCGUCUGUUGGUGCCGACCGCCGAAUCCUUUCUGUUUGCGAUGGCAUCGUGCAACGCCGCGCACAACGCGGCCCAUGCCAGCGCCCUGUAUGAGACCUUCAGUGCGUUGUACACGUUGCGCAGUGCUCACCCUGAGGCGCUGCUGGCGUACUUGCAGUCGCUUCGAAAUGUGGAGCACCUGUCGGCCCAUAUCGGGACGCAAGUGGAGGGGCUUGUGAUGGAUGGCAAAGGACUGGAUCGGCCGUGCUGCGUGGUGUGCCUGCAGCUCCUGUCGAGCCAGCGCGUGCACACGAAGCAGGCGGCGAAGUGGAGGAUCGCACAGAGACUGCUGCGGAUGUACGACAGCAACCCGUGGCCGCAGCAGCCGCCGGUGAGAAAGGCAGAGCUGCAGACAGUGUUUCGCUGCUGUCACCUCAUCGCGGCAAGCAGCGUAAGCGACGCGAAAGUGUCCGCUUCUGCGUCGGCUCCCUGUUCGCUGGUCACCGAGUUGCGCGCGUACCUGGUCUCUGUGUUUGGGCGCGACUCCUGCGAGUGCCAGUGGCUUGACGAUACCGAGGUUUACUCACUUCUCACCACACAGAGCUGGGAGUGCGCCCUUUCCAUUUACCAGCGGCAGGUGACGCAGCGCCCGCCAGCUCGCGUGACGGACCUCCCCAUCCCGCUGCGCCAGGUGCGCCACAUGUUCGCGCAGACGCUGCUACGCUGCUCCCGCGCUGCAACUGGCGAGGAGGGGGAGAGUGACAAAUUCCUCCUGGAUGAGGAGCGGGAGGCACAGGAGCGGGCGAGGACGAUUGACUUUUUGGCAUUCGCCGUGCGCACCGUCCGGGAGGUGUACGCGGGCACGGGUGACACAGUAUCCCUCGGUAUCGUCGCGGAGCUGCUGCUCCACCAAGCGUUGCACGCACCGCGUGCACGCGAGCGGCAGCAGUUGGCACUGGACGCGAUGCGAGAGCUGUCGUGUGGCUUGGCCAGCGCCGUGACCCCGCGGCUGAUCGACCUCGUCGCGCAGGCCCUCUCCCUCACGGAGGAGCAUGUCCAGAGCGUCCUCGUUGACGGCAGUGCGCAGCUGCGUGCAAAGGCGUUGGAGCGGGAUGGACAUCGACGCAUACGCUCGAGUGGCUGCCUCGAGACGAUUUUCACAUGAUAAUGUACCAUGGGUGCGGCGUGCUCGAGCGGGGCUGCUGUUACGCAUAGAGGCAAGGGCAGCAAAUGCGCAGGGGUGCAUGUGCGUGUGCGCGCACAUGUGCUUGCGUGUGUGUGUGGGGGGGGCGCAGGGGCUCUUCUCUUUCCUUCUCGUGUGUGCCCGUUGCUCUGGGCGGCUCGUGCGGCCGUUUACCCCGGCUCACAUUUGCUUUGCCGGCUUUGCGUUCUUCCCGUUUUGGUAGUCGACAAACUGCAGAGGAGCACGCCAGUGGCGACGUUCCAUCGUCGCACAUCUCGCUUCCAUCGCUUCCUGCUUCGCUGCUGUUGGUAACGGCACGCAGACGUGACUUCUCUCACAUCCUGAGGUUUUGUUCACUUCCUUUGCUCCUUCCGAUCCCAGUCCCCGCUGUGCCCCCCAUCGCCGUGAUGGAGCAGCGGAUACAUCCCUCUGAGCUGUUCGCAGAGCCGGAAAACGCUAGCCAUCGUUCAACAUCAUUUGUGAGCUAUGUGUGCUGCCGCAGGAGGCGCAGUUGCUAGGCAGACACUGGCUUCUGGCGUCCCCGGCAGACUUCGUCGGCACCCAGCCGCUUAUUCUGUGUGUCUCUGCCGACCUCUCGCUGCGCGGUUUUUGCGUUUUCUCGAGAGCUGCAGCGCGCAGCGGCGACACAGGCGACGCAUGCAGGUGCCGAAACGCUUCAGAUGCAGCUGGAGGAUGUGAGCCGGCGCGGCGGUGACGGUGGCACUGCUGCGUGCGCAGGGAAGGCAACCGGUGUAAAACGGCGACCGCGACGGCGGCUUCUUUCUGCACCUUUGUGCUUCACAGGUGCCAUCUAAUGGCUCUCACGAGAUGCUGCGUGCUCUUGCGAGCAGCGGAGCAGACCUGGCAGCAGCAGCUUCUCGUGAGACCACCACACAGCAGAUGCUGCGGGACAGUGGCGUCGUGGCCGGCGCGUGUGAAUCAAUGUCGGAAGUUGCACAAUACCACUGAACCGGUUGCUCCAGCGGCAUGAAGCAGUUGGUGAGAGGCUGUCGAAGUGCGCGUGCAUGCGUCUGCGUUGGCGUGCUUUCGUGCCCCCCCCCCACCACCACCGAGGAGCCGUGGGCUCGGCUUUUUGCCUCUCUUCUCUGCACUCUCGCAUGGCUCUUGCGCACCACACGCAAGCCCAACCCCGUCGGGUGUGGUGCGCGCCACUGAACGAGCGCGGCGGCGAGACACACACACGCGCGCACAUCAAAUGAAAGCAAAGCUGAUUAUGCAAAAGAAUGGAGAAGGGAACGUAAACGGCGCGUGCGCGCCUCAUCCUCCUCUUCUCUUCCGCUUCACCCGCCGCCUUACCUCCAUGCGUGAUACCGUGUCUUGCCCCUCUCUCCCCGUCCUCUGUGCCUCGCCCGCCACCGCCUCUUCCCUCCUCUGCGAACUCCGCGUCUCCUGCCUUGCUGCUCCACUUCUCACCGACACAUCAUGCCUCCCUUUUCGUCUUGCCGCUGGCGCCCUGCUCUCCAUCGCCACCUUCACACGGAUGCGUCCAUACAG
rnacentral:misc_RNA from 1 species